rnacentral:rRNA from 1 species
AUGAACGCUGGCGGCGUGCCUAAUACAUGCAAGUCGAGCGAACAGACGAGGAGCUUGCUCCUCUGACGUUAGCGGCGGACGGGUGAGUAACACGUGGAUAACCUACCUAUAAGACUGGGAUAACUUCGGGAAACCGGAGCUAAUACCGGAUAAUAUAUUGAACCGCAUGGUUCAAUAGUGAAAGACGGUUUUGCUGUCACUUAUAGAUGGAUCCGCGCCGCAUUAGCUAGUUGGUAAGGUAACGGCUUACCAAGGCCACGAUGCGUAGCCGACCUGAGAGGGUGAUCGGCCACACUGGAACUGAGACACGGUCCAGACUCCUACGGGAGGCAGCAGUAGGGAAUCUUCCGCAAUGGGCGAAAGCCUGACGGAGCAACGCCGCGUGAGUGAUGAAGGUCUUCGGAUCGUAAAACUCUGUUAUUAGGGAAGAACAAAUGUGUAAGUAACUAUGCACGUCUUGACGGUACCUAAUCAGAAAGCCACGGCUAACUACGUG